GUGGCUAUAAGUUAAUGGUAGACUGGUUGUUUUCCAUUCAAAGUGUGUCAGUUCGAGUCUGACUAGCUAUA
rnacentral:tRNA from 1 species